rnacentral:lncRNA from 1 species
AGCUUAUCUUUUAUUCAUGGACAAGCGGCGUUCUUCGCUUUACUAGGACGGGCAUCAAUAUUUCAUCUCGCUUAGCCCUGCCAGCUCCUGGCUUCUCUCCACCCCCACUCUGCUUCCCACUGGCUUUAGGACCUGGAGGGCUGGGUAUGCUGGCCAGCCUAGAGUCAUCAGAUGCCAGGCUGCCUUCUUGGGCCCCUGACCUGUUCUCCACACAAUCCCUGGCAGAGCAGGGCCCCGCCUGGAGACCUUCCUUCGCCUGUUCAUGCUCCAUGCAAAGACAACCGCCAUCCUGGAAGGAUCUGUGAGAACCUUCCCCACACCCACUCCACAGGUUCCCACAUUAUUCACCGUGAGUCGGAAUUCACUAAAACCCAUGUAGCUGAGCACACCUGUGAGGGGUUUUCUUGAGUGGAUCAUUUGAAGUAGGAAGACCCACCCUAAAUCUGGCCCACACCUUCUGGUAGCAGCCUGAAGAAAAAGACUUGGAAGAUGGAAGCUUUUGGGAUUUUUUGCCUGCUUGCCUUCACUCUUGCUGGCAAGUUCUUCUGAAAGAAAAUAAAACUUGAGACCUGUGAUUCAUGUAAUUUAUGUCAAAUAGCCCAAAGAGUUGUUUGUGAGCUUUGAAACCUGGGGCUGAGAACAUAGCAGAACAGGCCAGGACAUGCCCAGGCAGGCCCAUCGUUAAGACAUUCUUGAGGCUGCUUGGCCAUAAAGAUAAAGAGAAUGACAUGCUGGACUGGCCCAGCGCCUCCCUAUCUCCCACCCUUCUGACCUAAGUUAAAUGUUAACAGGCUGCUGAUGUUUAAAUGGACCAAUCAUGUGAAACUGCGCCAAUUCCUCCCCCAGCCCCAGACCCUUUUCUAUAAAAACCCCUAGCUUCUAAGCCUCGUGGUCGGAACCACUGUCUCCUGCGUGAGAUACGUUUUGACUGGGAGCGCCACCAUUAAAUGGUCUAAUCCACUGUCUCCUGCAUGAGAUACGUUUAGACCGGAGCUCCGCCAUUAAACUACCUCGUGUUUUUACAUCAAGACGUUCUGUUCUGUUCGUGAUUCUUGGGUGCACGCCGAAUCGGGAGUUGAGUGGGGGUUUCCCCACUAGGUUCUUUCACUUCCACCCUGUUCCUGAGACAUCCCUUCGCUGGUGUUAGUACCUGCAUUUUCAGGAUUCCGAUGUACAUGGAAGACUAGCGGCUCUCUGAGAUCUCCCAGGUCUCCGGCACCAGAGUGGGACUGCUGAGACAUCCAGUCUCAUGGUCUGAAUCAACAACAACCAGACCCUUUAGCUUUUUUUGUCAGGAGACAGCCAUUGUUGAGCUACCCGGACCACAGUCUGUAAGCCACGCUAAUAAAUCCUUUUUUAAUACCAUUCUAUCAGCUCUGUUCCUCUUCCCUGUGUGUUCUCUCUCUCUCCCUCGUUUGUUUUUCCCAGAGUUCCUUUCACCUUCUAACAUAAAGCACACUUGCUUAUCUUGCUUGUUGCUGUUGUUCACCUGCAUUGAGUGGGAGGCUGCCCCUCUGUCCGUGGAUUGAUUGGCUGUUGGAAAUGCUCACCUGGAGGAAUGAUCGGAGGCUGGAUGCAGGAAACAAGUACUUUUAGGUGGUGGUCCCCAGGAGAAGAGGACUUGGUGAUGAGCUCUGGGAAGCUCUGUUGUGACUGCCUGGAGGAAGUUGCUGGACAUAGCCCCAGAACUCGGGUCCCAGAGGGGGUCUGGUCUGAUGGUGGAGCUGCUGAGACCGUGGCAUUUCAGGAAGCUACACUUGGUUGGAAGAAUUAGAAGAGCCUCACAUACACAGAGAUUCCCGGAGUUCUGAAGAUCUGUGGGAGGCUUGAAAACCUGGUAAGCACCUGAGAGGUGACUUAGUGGUUAGGAGCACUGGCUGCUUUUCCAGAGGACCCUCAUUAGAUUCCCAGCACCCAAAUGACAUCUCACAACUGUCUGUAACUCGAGCCCCAGGGGAUCCAACACACUCUUCUCAUGCAUGGACUUACAUGUAGGCAAAACAUUGAUAUUCAUAAAAUUAGAACAACAGCACCUUGCUGAAUAUAGAUAGCUACAUAUUUGAGGAGAUAAUAAAAGAGCUUACAAGCAAGUCUUAAGCCAGCUGGGCAGUGCACUGCCUUAAUCCUGGCACUCAGGAGGCAGAGGCAGAGGCAGAGGCAGAGGCAGAGGCAGAGGCAGGGGCAGGGGCAGGGGCAGGGGCAGGGGCAGGGGCAGGGGCAGGGGCAGAGGCAGGGGGAGAGAGAGAGAGAGAGAGAGAGAGAGAGAGAGAGAGAGAGAGAGAGAGAGAGAGAGAGAGAGAGAGAGAGGCAGAGGCAGGAGGAUUUCUGUGAAUUCAUUUCUGUAGCCUGUUCUACAGAACGAGUUCCAAGCCAGCCACACUUGCAUAAUUAUCUCCUCACCCUGAAAAGGUAAAUCUUAAAAAGAAAUACGAAGUCAGGCAGUGAUGGCGCACACCUUUAAUUCCAGCACUUGGGAGGCAGAGGCAGGCGGAUUUCUGAGUUUGAGGCCAGCCUGGUCUACAGAGUGAGUUCCAGGACAGCCAAGGCUAUACAGAGAAACCCUGUCUCAAAAAACCGAACCAAACCAACCAACCAACCAACCAACCAACCAAACAAACAAAUAAACAAACAAAAAGAAAGAAAUACCAACAAAGGCAUGGUGGUACAGUCCUGUAAUCCAGCUCUCUGCUGGCAGAGGAGGAAGUCAUGUGUUAGAGGCCAGCCUGGGCUAUCUAGCCAACACUUAUCCAACAACAACAACAACAACAACAACAACAUCGAUAAAUUAAAGCUGUUCCAGAUAACCUUGAGCCAGAAGUCCAGCACUGUUUUUUUUUUAAAUAAACUGUACUAUAUAAAAAAAAUGCAAAUAAAAAAAGGCAUCACUCUUUAAAGGAAUAUAGCACAAUCUAGAGCUUGACAAAAUAAAAAUUUCAACAUAUGUCAUCUAAUGAAAGUUAAUAGCUAUGUAAAGAAGCAGAAAAGUAUUACUCAUUGCCACAAGAAAAAUCUGCCAACAGAAAAAGAACAAAAGAGAGACGCUGGACAGCGUUGGCAGGCGCCCGAUACUGAAGCCGUGAUUGUAAAUACACUCCACAUGCUCAAAAUGCAGACGGUAGCACGAGCAUGAGGAGAUAAGUGGAAUAUUAAGAAAAACACGAUUUAUAAAAACGAAAACAGAUAUCUGAAAUGGAAAAAAAAAAAAAAACUCGUUAAAUAAAUUAUUCUGUCCCUGCUGCUGCUAGCACAACCACACGGGGGCGCUCCAAUAGUUCUCACGGCCAGUGAUGCCCACCACCACCCCGACCCUUCCCUGGGUGACUACAUUCUUUUUCUCCAUUUCUCAGUAUUCUGAGAAUACUUCUUUUCUAUUUGGUCCCCAAUUGCAAGCUGAACUUCGCGUGGUAGUGACCUGUUCUCUGGAGACCUCUGUCAGCUGGUGUCUCCCGUGCUUUCUGGAGAUCUCUGUUGACAAGUGUUUCCCGAGCCCCUCUGUGACC